AGAAAAAGAUAAAUCAAACAAAACAAAAACAAAUGAAACACAGUUAUAUGAUAUCUCCUUCUCCGCCAUUUUCUUAUUUCCUCUUCCUACACAGUUAUCUUCUCUUAUUCUGUUCCUUCUUCAUUUUACAUCUUCAAUCUUUAUCUUUUAUGAUUAGUUUUGUGAUCUUACUAGUAUAAUACUUCACAUCUUCAAAGAGGCUAGAAAAAGUUUCUAAACUUUCAAUCUUGGUGCGUUUGGGGCUACUUCAAGUGACGAUUUUUCCCAAAAUUUGAUAGUUUUUAAUCAUCUUUGGUGUGGGUACCUGAAGGUUAGAGUCGGGGUACGGGCAGAGAGCUACGUCCACUCAUUUUGUGUAUAUAGUUAUAAUAUUUCUUUCCGCCUUAGUUUUAUGUAUAAUUACUAUUAAGACUUAAAGGUGUAAAUAUUAAUCUGCGCUAAAUCUUUUUGAUUAGGUUGUAAUAGUUUAACUUAAGUUAUGAUUUAGAUGUUGGUUGGAUAGUUUUCUUAGCGAUUAUUCUUAAAAUAAUUGUGGAAUAACAUGCCUGAAAUUUCGAGUUAGGAGAUGUGUUGGCGAUUGAGCUAUGUGGGGCUGAAAACAUGGAAUAUGGAAUGGAUUUUUUUGUUGAAACAAGUUUA